UUGAGCCGUAUGCGGGGAAACCCGCACGUACGGUUCUUAGGGGGGAGUGGGCCAGCGAUGGCCUGCUCCUACCCUAC
rfam:Cupriavidus sp. TYMMa02A contig.122, whole genome shotgun sequence.